rnacentral:rRNA from 1 species
CAAUAGCGUAUAUUAAGGUUGUUGCAGUUAAAAAGCUCGUAGUUGGAUUUCUGGUAGGAGUGACCGUUCCGAACUUGAUUGUUCGUGUAUUGUGUUUUCUCCAGCCAUCCUUGUGGAGAACUUUUCUUGCAUUAAUUUGUAGGGAUUGGGACCCGCAUCGUUUACUGUGAAAAAAUUAGAGUGUUUAAAGCAGGCAAUCGCUUGAAUACAUUAGCAUGGAAUAAUAAGAUAGGACUUUGGUACUAUUUUGUUGGUUUGCAUACCAAAUUAAUGAUCAACAGGAACAGUUUGAGGAUAUUCGUAUGAACAUGUCAGAGGUGAAAUUCUUGGAUUUUGAUCAGACGAACUACUGCGAAAGCAUUUAUCAAGGAUGUUUUCAUUAA